CAUUUGCAUAGGGACGUGUUUGCAUGUGCAGAGCAUAUUUGGUCCAGAUGCUUGAUGUUGAGGCAGCUGAACGCUUACAACUGAUCCGUCAGCACAGACGAGCGAUGGCCUUCACUGCACUCUUCCUGUGGUCUCUCGUCGUCUGCAUUCAAGAUUCCAUGGGACAGGUCACUCUUACGCAACCUACAACAGUGACCAGCAGUCCAGGAGGCUCAGUUAAAAUCAGCUGUAAACGGACUGGAAGCAUUCAUUGGGACUGUUCUUCUCCAAAUAAAUGCAUCUCCUGGUACCAACAGCAGUCUGGAGAGAAACCCAAACUCCUCAUCUACUACGUGAGCAGCCUCCAGUCUGGUAUUCCAUCUCGGUUUAGUGGCAGUGGAUCUGGGAAUGACUUCAGUCUGACCAUCAGUGGAGUCCAGAGUGAAGAUGCAGGAGAUUAUUACUGCAUGAGUCGCCAUGAUCCCAGACGUGAUGUUGCUGAGUUCCCACGGUGAUACAGAGCCGUACAA